rnacentral:rRNA from 1 species
UACAUGGGGUGCAAACGUUGCUCGGAAUUAUUGGGCGUAAAGCGCGCGUAGGCGGUUAUCUAAGUCGGAUGUGAAAGCCCUCGGCUUAACUGAGGAAGUGCACCCGAAACUGGAUAGCUAGAGUACGAAAGAGGGUCGCGGAAUUCCCGGUGUAGAGGUGAAAUUCGUAGAUAUCGUGAGGAACACCGGUGGCGAAGGCGGCGACCUGGGUCGAGACUGACGCUGAGGCGCGAAAGCGUGGGGAGCAAACAGG